GUCGACAUCAUCGUUGAGGUUGAUCGGGAGCUGCAGCACCUGAAACAGUGCUUGGCCCAGCACCAUUUUCAACUGGAGGAGAGGUCCCCCAUUUACCUUCAGACUCUGAUGGUUCGAGUACGUGGACACCGCCAUCUGACAGUCCCAGUGCAAACUGGUUGGGUUCAGACGGAUGAGCGGCAAUAACAAGAGGAUGUACCCUCAAGCUUGGAUUAGGAGGCAAGUAAGCGUUCGGAUUUAUUCGACAUCUUAAUCGAAGAGUCGAAGCAGUAAGAACACCGAUGCUUCCAUCUUCAAAGCUGACAUAGAUUGACUGACUAUCACAAGAAAAAGUGGCAUGUGUGAUUGGACCACUGGCGUCUCGUGGGAACCACUGCUUAAGGCAUUCCAAUUUCGGUGCUUCGUAUAUAGCUAUCUGAGUUUCAUGAAUGGCCAACAAGUGUAUCUGGUCUAUGUGAAAUUGAACGCGCGUAUCUGCAAGAGGAGCAACUGUUCGAUUGCUUGGGAUCUGUAAGAAUUUGUUAACCUGUUUCUCCCAUCCGUCAGUGCUCCAGACGCACAGCUGAGAGUCAGCUCCCGAAGAUACAAGAACAUUUAGUUGAUUCGAGAAGGCGAG
rnacentral:misc_RNA from 1 species